rnacentral:tRNA from 1 species
AUUUAUUUAGUAUAUUAGUACAUUUGAUUUCCAAUCAAAAAGAUUGAUCAAUCAAAAUAAAUA